CAGCCGCCGCGGUAAUACGGGGGGUGCAAGCGUUAUUCGGAUUGAUUGGGUGUAAAGGGUGUGCAGACGGCUUAUUAAGUCACUUGUUAAAUUCUUCGGCCUAACUGAAGGUCUGCAAGUGAUACUGAUGAGCUAGAGGGUGGAAGAGAGAAGUGGAAUUCUCGGAGUAGCGGUAAAAUGCGUAGAUCUCGAGAGGAACACCAAUGGCGAAGGCAGCUUCUUGGUCCAUUCCUGACGUUCAUACACGAAAGCGUGGGGAGCAAACAGGAUUAGAUACCCGCGUAGUCCCUGUCUCUUAUAC
rnacentral:rRNA from 1 species